AGGUAAAUCAAUUGGGCCAA
rnacentral:snRNA from 1 species